AGUCGAACGGCAGCACGGGAGCAAUCCUGGUGGCGAGUGGCGAACGGGUGAGUAAUACAUCGGAACGUGUCCUGUAGUGGGGGAUAGCCCGGCGAAAGCCGGAUUAAUACCGCAURCGAUCUGCGGAUGAAAGCGGGGGCUCCUUCGGGACCUCGCGCUGCAGGGGCGGCCGAUGGCAGAUUAGCUAGUUGGUGGGGUAAAGGCCUACCAAGGCGACGAUCUGUAGCUGGUCUGAGAGGACGACCAGCCACACUGGGACUGAGACACGGCCCACACUCCUACGGGAGGCAGCAGUGGGGAAUUUUGGACAAUGGGCGCAAGCCUGAUCCAGCAAUGCCGCGUGUGUGAAGAAGGCCUUCGGGUUGUAAAGCACUUUUGUCCGGAAAGAAAACGUCGUGGUUAAUACCCGGGGCGGAUGACGGUACCGGAAGAAUAAGCACCGGCUAACUACGUGCCAGCAGCCGCGGUAAUACGUAGGGUGCAAGCGUUAAUCGGAAUUACUGGGCGUAAAGCGUGCGCAGGCGGUUCGCUAAGACAGAUGUGAAAUCCCCGGGCUUAACCUGGGAACUGCAUUUGUGACUGGCGGGCUAGAGUAUGGCAGAGGGGGGUAGAAUUCCACGUGUAGCAGUGAAAUGCGUAGAGAUGUGGAGGAAUACCGAUGGCGAAGGCAGCCCCCUGGGCCAAUACUGACGCUCAUGCACGAAAGCGUGGGGAGCAAACAGGAUUAGAUACCCUGGUAGUCCACGCCCUAAACGAUGUCAACUAGUUGUCGGGUCUUCAUUGACUUGGUAACGUAGCUCACGCGUGAAGUUGACCGCCUGGGGAGUACGGUCGCAAGAUUAAAACUCAAAGGAAUUGACGGGGACCCGCACAAGCGGUGGAUGAUGUGGAUUAAUUCGAUGCAACGCGAAAAACCUUACCUACCCUUGACAUGUAUGGAAUCCUGCUGAGAGGUGGAUGUGCCCGAAAGGGAGCCAUAACACAGGUGCUGCAUGGCUGUCGUCAGCUC
rnacentral:rRNA from 1 species